rnacentral:tRNA from 1 species
AAGAAAGUGACAGAGUGGUGAUGUGGUUGAUUUGAAAUCAAUAUAAGGGGGUUCAAUUCCUUCCUUUCUUG